UACGUAGGGAGCAAGCGUUGUCCGGAAUCAUUGGGCGUAAAGAGCGCGUAGGUGGCUUUAUAAGUCCGUUGUGAAAGUCAAAGGCUCAACCUUUGAAAGCCGAUGGAUACUGUGAAGCUAGAGUACGGAAGAGGCGAGUGGAAUUCCUGGUGUAGCGGUGGAAUGCGCAGAUAUCAGGAGGAACACCAAUAGCGAAGGCAGCUCGCUGGGACGUUACUGACACUGAGGCACGAAAGCGUGGGGAUCAAACAGG
rnacentral:rRNA from 1 species